AUCAUUACCGAGUUUUCAACUCCCAAACCCACUGUGAACCUAUACCAAAAACGUUGCCUCGGCGGGACAUGCGCCCCGGACCGCCCCCCCCUCGCGGGGGAGGGCGCCGGAUCCCACGGCCGCCCGCCGGGGGCCCCAAACUCUGUAUUCCCAUAGCGGCAUGUCUGAGUGGAUUUAUCCAAUGAAUCAAAACUUUCAACAACGGAUCUCUUGGUUCUGGCAUCGAUGAAGAACGCAGCGAAAUGCGAUAAGUAAUGUGAAUUGCAGAAUUCAGUGAAUCAUCGAAUCUUUGAACGCACAUUGCGCCCGCCAGUACUCUGGCGGGCAUGCCUGUUCGAGCGUCAUUUCAACCCUCAGGCCCCCGGGCCUGGUGUUGGGGACGGCUCACGGGGGGGAGGCACAGCGCCCUCCCCCCCUGCCGCCCCCUAAAUGGAUCGGCGGCCACGCCGCGGCCCUCCCUGCGCAGUACAUACCACCUCGCAGGCGGCUGGCUCGGCGCGGCCACUGCCGUAAAACGCCCAACUUCUCCAGAGUUGACCUCGAAUCAGGUAGGAAUACCCGCUGAACUUAAGCAUAUCAAAAAGCGGAGGAAAAGAAACCAACAGGGAUUGCCCCAGUAACGGCGAGUGAAGCGGCAACAGCUCAAAUUUGAAAUCUGGCCCCCCGGGGCCCGAGUUGUAAUUUGCAGAGGAUGCUUUUGGCGAGGCGCCUUCCGAGUUCCCUGGAACGGGACGCCAUAGAGGGUGAGAGCCCCGUCUGGUCGGACGCCGAGCCUCUGUAAAGCUCCUUCGACGAGUCGAGUAGUUUGGGAAUGCUGCUCUAAAUGGGAGGUAUAUGUCUUCUAAAGCUAAAUACCGGCCAGAGACCGAUAGCGCACAAGUAGAGUGAUCGAAAGAUGAAAAGCACUUUGAAAAGAGGGUUAAACAGUACGUGAAAUUGUUGAAAGGGAAGCGCCUGUGACCAGACUUGCGCCCGUCGGAUCACCCAGCGUUCUCGCUGGUGCACUCCGGCGGGCGCAGGCCAGCAUCAGCUCGUCUCGGGGGACAAAGGCGGCGGGAACGUGGCUCCUCCGGGAGUGUUAUAGCCCGCCGCGCAAUGCCCUGGGGCGGGCUGAGGACCGCGCGUAAGCAUGAUGCUG
rnacentral:misc_RNA from 1 species